AGGGCCCAUCAACACCAAUCCAUUUAUUUUCAUUUCCUUUUUCAAUUCACAUCUAUUUUUCUGUUUCGAUUUUAAUUAUUUAAAAUAUUUUUUUUGUCCAUAAAAUUACCCACAAAUAUUUUUUCACUUUUCUUAAUGUCUCAUUUAAUUUUUAUUUUCGUAUUUAUUUAAUAUUAAUUUUUUAUGUUAAUUAUUUAUUCUAAAUGGUUCAUUUUAGCAUACUUUUUUAUUGAUUUUAUUUCCCUAACUUAAAA
rnacentral:lncRNA from 1 species